UUUUGUAGUUAAAUUUAAAUUUGGACAUGUCUAUAUAACCCUAAAAGAUUGAUGACUUCGCUGUGUCCCUCUUAAUUGGACCCUUUUAAUUAAUUACCCAUAUAUUAUCCCUCGUUUCAUUACCAUUUAUAAGGCAAUACAGGAUGGGGCUAGCCUUACGUAAAACUCCAAGUGUCAACCAAUGAAUAACAACUUGAUUCUUAUUAUGUACCCGAACACACUGAAUCAAUCCAAACCCUGAUGAUGUUUGUAUAUGCCUAUAAAAUACCGAAACCCUAAGUCCCCCGUUUUGCCCGUGAGAGCUUCAUUGUGAGCAGCCUCAAUAAGAAUUUCUUUCCCAUUGUAAGAAGUCCGUUUCUACCGUCUUUUCUGUCUACUCGACUCUUCCCUCAGGAUGGAUUCUGCAAUCAAACAUGCUGUGGUGGUGAAAGUCAUGGGACGAACAGGUUCAAGAGGGCAGGUGACUCAGGUUAGAGUGAAGUUUUUGGAUGAUCAGAACCGGUUUAUCAUGAGGAAUGUGAAGGGACCUGUUAGAGAAGGCGAUAUCCUCACUCUUCUCGAGUCUGAGAGAGAAGCUAGAAGGUUGCGUUGAUUUGUCUGACCAAUUGACGCCGGUCAUUCUAACUAGUGGAAAUGUCAAUGGUUUUGAGUUUUGCAACUUCAUAUUUGCAAGUUUUGGUGUUAAAGACUUGAUUUUAAUUUGUGGGUUAUAUUCAUGGGAUGGUUAGUAAUUUUUUCA